AUUGAACGCUGGCGGAAUGCUUUACACAUGCAAGUCGAGCGGCAGCGCGGGGGCAACCCUGGCGGCGAGCGGCGAACGGGUGAGUAAUACAUCGGAACGUGUCCUUAAGUGGGGGAUAGCUCGGCGAAAGCCGGAUUAAUACCGCAUAAGCUCUGAGGAGGAAAGCGGGGGCUCCGUAAGGACCCCGCGCUGUUGGAGCGGCCGAUGUCGGAUUAGCUAGUUGGUGGGGUAAAGGCCCACCAAGGCGACGAUCCGUAGCUGGUCUGAGAGGAUGAUCAGCCACACUGGAACUGAGACACGGUCCAGACUCCUACGGGAGGCAGCAGGUGGGGUAAUUUUGGACAAGUGGGGGCAACCCUGAUCCAGCC
rnacentral:rRNA from 1 species